CCAAAUAAUAACACCACUCUGAAUGUGCUUGAUCUAGUUUGAUCUCGGAAGCUAAGCAGAGCUGGGCCUGGUUGUAACCAACCCAGGAGAGU
rnacentral:rRNA from 1 species